GACGAACGCUGGCGGCGUGCUUAACACAUGCAAGUCGAACGGUGAAGCGCCUUCCUUUUUGGUGGGUGUGGAUGAGUGGCGAACGGGUGAGUAACACGUGAGUAACCUGCCCCCUUCUUCUGGAUAACCGCAUGAAAGUGUGGCUAAUACGGGAUAUUCUGUGUCUGUCGCAUGAUGGGUCUGGGAAAGAUAUUGUUUCGGUGGGGGAUGGGCUCGCGGCCUAUCAGCUUGUUGGUGGGGUGAUGGCCUACCAAGGCGGUGACGGGUAGCCGGCAUGAGAGGGUGGACGGUCACACUGGGACUGAGAGACGGACCAGACUCCUACGGGAGGCAGCAGUGGGGAAUAUUGCACAAUGGGCGCCAGCCUGAUGCAGCGACGCCGCGUGAGGGAUGGAGGCCUUCGGGUUGUGAACCUCUUUCGCCAGUGAAGCAGGCCUGCCUCGUUUGUGGGUGGGUUGACGGUAGCUGGAUAAGAAGCGCCGGCUAACUACGUG
rnacentral:rRNA from 1 species